rnacentral:rRNA from 1 species
GACUUCUGGUUUAAUGCACCUGGCCCGCGGCCCACAAGGCCUGUGAGUGCCGGCGCGCGUUUCCCAUCCUUCCAGCAACGGCUUCCCUUAACUGGGCGGCUGGAACUGGAUCUUUUACUUUGAAAAAAUUAGAGUGUUUAAAGCAGGCGUUUGCUCUGAAUACAUUAGCAUGGAAUAAUAAUCUAGGACUUCGGUUCUAUUUUGUUGGUUUCUAUAACUGAAGUAAUGAUUGAUAGGGAUAGUUGGGGGUGCUAGUAUUGGCCGGUCAGAGGUGAAAUUCUUGGAUUCGGUCAAGACUAACUUAUGCGAAAGCAUU